AGAGUUUGAUCAUGGCUCAGGAUGAACGUUGGCGGUGUGCCUAAUACAUGCAAGUCGAACGGAGUUAAUAGCAAUAUUGACUUAGUGGCGAACGGGUGAGUAACGCGUUGGUGAUCUGCCUCGAAGUGUGGAAUAACGUUCCGAAAGGAUCGCUAAUACCGCAUGUGCUCUCGAUUUUUAGAAAGUUGAGAGUAAAGGAUUUAUUCGCUUCGAGAGGAGCCUGCGUCCCAUCAGCUGGUUGGUAGGGUAACGGCCUACCAAGGCUAUGACGGGUAGGGGACCUGAGAGGGUGGCCCCCCACAAUGGAACUGAAACACGGUCCAUACACCUACGGGUGGCAGCAGUAGGGAAUAUUAGAAAUGGACGAAAGUCUGAUCUAGCAACACCGCGUGUGCGAAGAAGGCCUUCGGGUCGUAAAGCACUUUUUGGAAGGAAUAGGAAGGAAUGUACUUCCAGAAUAAGUCUCGGCUAACUACGUGCCAGCAGCCGCGGUAACACGUAGGAGGCAAACGUUAUCCGGAUUUACUGGGCGUAAAGCGCGUGUAGGUGGUACUGUAAGUAGGGCGUGAAAGCUCCCGGCUCAACUGGGAGAGGCCGUUCUAAACUGCAGUACUAGAGGAUGGUAGAGGGAGGUGGAAUUCCAGGUGUAGCGGUGGAAUGCGCAGAUAUCUGGAGGAACACCAGUGGCGAAGGCGGCCUCCUGGACCAUUCCUGACACUCAGACGCGAAAGCUAGGGUAGCAAACGGGAUUAGAGACCCCGGUAGUCCUAGCCCUAAACGAUGUAGACUAGGCGUCGGUGGUUUAAUCACCAUCGGUGUCCAAGCUAACGCGAUAAGUCUACCGCCUGGGGACUACGGCCGCAAGGUUAAAACUCAAAUGAAUUGACGG
rnacentral:rRNA from 1 species